rnacentral:rRNA from 1 species
UAGAGACUCAGAGCUGCAUAUCAAUAAGCGGAGGAAAAGAAACUAACAAGGAUUCCCCUAGUAACGGCGAGUGAAGCGGGAAGAGCUCAAAUUUGAAAUCUUCAAGGGUUUCCCUUGACGAAUUGUAGUUUAAAGAAGUGUUUUCUGUUAGAGAGGUGGUAAAAGUUCUUUGGAAUAGGACAUCAUAGAGGGUGAGAAUCCCGUAUUUGAUCACUUUCUACUAACGUUGUGAUACACUUUCAAAGAGUCGGAUUGUUUGGGAAUGCAGUCCAAAAUGGGUGGUAAAUUUCAUCUAAAGCUAAAUAUUGGCGAGAGACCGAUAGCGAACAAGUACCGUGAGGGAAAGAUGAAAAGAACUUUGAAAAGAGAGUUAAACAGUACGUGAAAUUGUCAAAAGGGAAGCGUUUGACACCAGUGUUGUAAUAGAGUGUGAGCGUUAUAUCAGGCUUGCUGCACUUUUUUCCUAUAACUUUUUAAUGCACUUUUCGGUUAACAAGUCAACAUCAAUUUCUUUUGUUGUAAAAGGGUCAUUGAGGAAGGUGGCUUUUCUUUCGGAGAAAGUGUUUAUAGCCUUGUGCUUCUGCAAUCGGAGAGAUUGAGGUCUGCAGCGUAGAUCCUUCGGGGUUAGAUACAUUUGUGCUAAGCUAUAGUUCUUUCAUAGACAACUUGUUGACUAUAAGUCAUCCUGUAGCUUACUCGCUUAUGCUAUUUUACCUACGCUUAGGAUGUUGAUAUGCAUGACUGAUAU